AUUGAACGCUGGCGGCGUGCUUAACACAUGCAAGUCGAUCGGUAACAGGUGUAGCAAUACAUGCUGACGAGAGGCGGACGGGUGAGUAAUGCUUGGGAAUCUGCCUAUUAGUGGGGGACAACCCGGGGAAACUCGGGCUAAUACCGCAUACGCUCUACGGAGGAAAGCCGGGGACCGCAAGGCCUGGCGCUAAUAGAUGAGCCCAAGUCGGAUUAGCUAGUUGGUAGGGCAACGGCCUACCAAGGCGACAAUCCGUAGCUGGUCUGAGAGGACGACCAGCCACACCGGAACUGAGACACGGUCCGGACUCCUACGGGAGGCAGCAGUGGGGAAUAUUGGACAAUGGGGGCAACCCUGAUCCAGCGACGCCGCGUGGGUGAAGAAGGCCUGCGGGUUGUAAGCCCUUCGGUGGGGAAGAAAAGUCUCGACCUAAUACGUCGGGACCUUGACGUAACCACUAAAGAAGCACCGGCUAACUCUGUGCCAGCCGCCGCGGUAAU
rnacentral:rRNA from 1 species